CAGGUCUCCAGCCGGCUGCAGUGGGAGAUGACCUCACAGUUCAAAGGCCUGCCACUUCCUUGUGACGGCUCUCAGAGGCCUGCACGGCAGGAGAGAAACCUUUCUCUCAGGACCAAAAAUAGUUGUUCUUGGAUCAGACUGAGAAAGAUCUUGCUGAGAUUCAAGGUUCGGAGUGCUGGAGGAUUUUCUCCUCCUCUCAACCAGGGCAGGCAGUUCUGUGGCCACCGCAGGCCAGACCGCUGCAUGGCUGCUUGCUUCCUGAGGACAGCAGGAUUGAUUUCACUGCUGGAGCUGCUGGUGCCCGGGAAGGUUAACAAUCCCUUAUCCAAAAUGCUUGGAACCAGAAGUGUUUCAGAUCUCACAGUUUUUCAGUUUUUGGAAUAUUUGCAUGUACAUAAUGAGCUACCUAGGGGAUGUGACAGAGUCUAAGCCCGAAGCUCAUUCAUGUUUCAUGGACCCUGUGUGCAAAUGGCCUGAGGGUAAUGUUUGUAUUCCUGUGUUUGGACUACCACCCUCCACGUGAGGUCAGGUGCGCUUCCCUGACCUUUCUGUGAGGGACGGGGCGGGUCCCAGACCCCCAAGCCCUGGCUUCGCUUGAUGACUCACUGCCAGCCAGCGGCCCCUGUACUGGGAAGGAGCUGAGUGAGUCUCCCCAGCCUGCCUGUUCUCUGCCACCUCGAAGUAGCUGCACUGGAAGAGCUAUGACAGCAGCCUCCUGCGGGCCUAUGGUUCGGGACAGACAGGGGUGACUGGGCGCCCCCACAGGGAAGGAUGUUGCUUCUCCAGUUACAGUGCCCGCUCUUUCCUGCUCUGCCUCCAUCUGCUCAUCCUGUCUUCCACUGUGCUUUUGAAAGGGUCGGGUGGGGCCGCUCUGCAGUGAUCAGGAUAGCGCUUAGUGUUGUACUAGGUGCGAUUUGAAAUAUUCCAUCUAACAG
rnacentral:lncRNA from 1 species